rnacentral:tRNA from 1 species
UCCCUUAUUGUCUAGUAGUUGGGAUACCUGGCUCUCACCCAGGAGGCCCGGGUUCAAUUCCCGGUAUGGGAA